rnacentral:rRNA from 1 species
GAUCCUGGCUCAGGAUGAACGCUAGCGACAGGCUUAACACAUGCAAGUCGAGGGGCAGCAUGAACUUAGCUUGCUAAGUUUUGAUGGCGACCGGCGCACGGGUGAGUAACGCGUAUGCAACUUACCUAUCAGAGGAGAAUAGCUCAUCGAAAGAUGAAUUAAUGCUCCAUAAAACAGGGGCCCCGCAUGGGGAUAUUUGUUAAAGAUUCAUCGCUGAUAGAUAGG